rnacentral:rRNA from 1 species
AGCGUAGGCGGCCGUAUAAGUUAGAUGUGAAAUACCCGUGCUUAACACGGGGGCUGCAUCUAAUACUGUAUGGCUUGAGUGCAGGAGAGGAAAGUGGAAUUCCUAGUGUAGCGGUGAAAUGCGUAGAUAUUAGGAGGAACAUCGGUGGCGAAGGCGACUUUCUGGACUGUAACUGACGCUGAGGCUCGAAAGCGUGGGGAGCAAACAG